rnacentral:rRNA from 1 species
CCUACGGGAGGCAGCAGUGAGGAAUAUUGGUCAAUGGACGAGAGUCUGAACCAGCCAAGUAGCGUGAAGGAUGACUGCCCUAUGGGUUGUAAACUUCUUUUAUAUGGGAAUAAAAUGUUCCACGUGUGGGAUUUUGUAUGUACCAUAUGAAUAAGGAUCGGCUAACUCCGUGCCAGCAGCCGCGGUAAUACGGAGGAUCCGAGCGUUAUCCGGAUUUAUUGGGUUUAAAGGGAGCGUAGGUGGAUUGUUAAGUCAGUUGUGAAAGUUUGUGGCUCAACCGUAAAAUUGCAGUUGAAACUGGCAGUCUUGAGUACAGUAGAGGUGGGCGGAAUUCGUGGUGUAGCGGUGAAAUGCUUAGAUAGCACGAAGAACUCCGAUUGCGAAGGCAGUUCACUGGACUGCAACUGACACUGAGGCUCGAAAGUGUGGGUAUCAAACAGGAUUAGAUACCCCGGUAGUC